AUAGUUAAUUUACGGUUUUAAGUGGAUGCCUUGGUACUAGGAUUAAGGACGUAUGUAGUUACGAAAAGUUAAGGUUAGUUUAGAAAACUGUGACCCUUAGAUUUCCUUAAAGUAAACUUGUUUUUUUGAAACAAUUUAAUUGAUAUUUAGCGAACUGAAACAUCUAAGUAGCUAAAAGAAAAAAAAUCAAACGAGAUUUCGUAAGUAGUGGCGAGCGAAAGCGAAAUAGGUUUUUAAAAUUUACAUUAUAUUAUAAAAAUUUAUUAUUAUAAAAGGUUUAAAUCCUGUAUAUUUUAUAAUGUAUUAAUAAAAGAGUAUCUCAAUACACGUGUAAUAUUGAGAAAAUAUAGGGGGACCUUCCUCUAAACCUAAAUAUAACUUAGUGACCGAUAGUGAACAAGUACCGUGAGGGAAAGGUAAAAAGAGUAUAUAGAUCGGGAUAGUGAAAGAAUCUGAAAUUUAAAAUCAAGAAGCAAUUGAAUAUUUUAUAUAAUAUUCAGUGUACCUUUUGCAUAAUGGGCUAACGAGUUUAUUUAUUUAGCGAGCUUAAAUUAUUAAAUGUAGGCGUAGCUGAAAGCGAAUUUUAAAAAGUUUAUAGUUAAAUAAAUAAGACCCGAAACCAAGUGAUCUAAUUAAGAUCAGGUUGAACGUAAAGUAAGAUUUACUGGAGGACCGAACCCGUGUCUGUUGCAAAAGACUGGGAUGAAUUUUGAUUAGGGGUGAAAGGCCAAUCAAACUUGGAGAUAGCUGGUUUUCCACGAAAUCUAUUUAAGUAGAGUAUUGUUCAUAAAUUUAAAUUAAGGUAGAGCACUUAUUGAGUGAUGGGGGUUUUAAACUUUACUAAUCUUUGUAAAACUUCGAAUAUAAUUUAUUUUUGUACAAUAAACAGACUAUAGGUGCUAAGAUCUAUAGUCAAGAGGGUAACAGCCCUGAUUGUUAAAUAAGGUCUCUAAAUUACUUGUAAGUGUUAAAGGAAGUAUUACGAUGUAGACAAUCAAAAGGUAGGCUUAGUAGCAGUCAUCCUCUCAGGAGUGCGUAAAAGCUCAUUGAUUUAGUUGUAAGCGCCUAAAAUAUUGGAGGCUUAACAAGUAUACCGAAUUUGCAAUUUUAUUUUUUUAAAAGGUAGUGGAACGUUCUAUAUGCUGUAGAAGGUAAGUUGUUAAAUUUACUGGAGGUAUUAGAAGUGAAAAUGUUAGCAUCAGUAUUAUAAAUAACGUCAAUUUUAAUAAAAGCGUUAUGACCGUAAGCCUAAGGGUUUUCAACGUAUGAUAAUCGUGUUGAAGUUAGACGGCCCCUAAGGGUAAAACGAAAGUUGAUCUCGAUGGGAAAUAAUGUUAAUAUUCAUUAUAUUAUUAAAUAUGACGGACAUUUAUUUUUGUUUUUAUUAUAUAAAAUUAAUAAAAUAAGAAAAUGUGUUCCAAGAAAUAGUAUUUAAUAGAAAAACCGUACCCUAAACCGACACAGGUAGGCUAGUGUAGUACACUAAGGUUUUGGUGUAAUUGUAGUGAAGGAACUCGGCAAAAUGCUCUUGUAACUUCUGGAUAAAAGAGACCUUUUUUAAAGGUGACACAUAAUCGGGGGUAGCGACUGUUUAAUAAAAACACAGGACUCUGCUAAAUUGAAAAAUGAAGUAUAGGGUCUGACACCUGCCCGGUGCUGUAAAGCUAAUAGGAGGGGUAUAAGCUCCCAAUUGAAGCUCCAGUAAACGGCGGCUGUAACUCUGACGGUCCUAAGGUAGCGAAAUUCCUUGUCGGGUAAUUUCCGACCCGCAUGAAUGGUGUAACGACUUCCCCGCUGUCUCCACUACAAUCCCAAAGAAGUUGAAUUCUUCGUGCAGAUGCGAAGUACUUAUGAUAAGACGAAAAGACCCUAUGCACCUUUACUACAUCUUUACAUUGCUUAUAGGGUUAUUUUGUGCAGGAUAGGUGGGAGUUUUUGACCGUGUGCCGCUAGGUAUAUGCGAGACAUCCUUGAAAUACCACCCUAAAUAACAUCUAAAGCUAACUAAUUAAAAGGACAUUGUAUGGUUGGUAGUUUCUCUGGGGCGGAGACCUCCUAAAAAGUAACGGAGGUGUACAAAGGUAAACUCAGAAUAAUUUAUAUUAUUUAUUGAAGUGUAAUGGCAUAAGUUUGCUUAACUGAAAGACAGACAUGUCGAACAGUAACGAAAGUUGGUCAUAGUGAUCCGGUGUUUGUGAAAGGAAAAAACAUCGCUCAACGGAUAAAAGGUACGCUAGGGAUAACAGGCUAAUGA
rnacentral:rRNA from 1 species